rnacentral:rRNA from 1 species
UGGCGGCGUGCCUAAUACAUGCAAGUGGAACGCAUGAUUGAUACCGGAGCUUGCUCCACCAUUAAUCAUGAGUCGCGAACGGGUGAGUAACGCGUAGGUAACCUACCUCAUAGCGGGGGAUAACUAUUGGAAACGAUAGCUAAUACCGCAUAACAGUAUUUAUCGCAUGGUAAAUGCUUGAAAGGAGCAAUUGCUUCACUAUGAGAUGGACCUGCGUUGUAUUAGCUAGUUGGUGGGGUAACGGCUCACCAAGGCAUCGAUACAUAGCCGACCUGAGAGGGUGAUCGGCCACACUGGGACUGAGACACGGCCCAGACUCCUACGGGAGGCAGCAGUAGGGAAUCUUCGGCAAUGGGGGGAACCCUGACCGAGCAACGCCGCGUGAGUGAAGAAGGUUUUCGGAUCGUAAAGCUCUGUUGUAAGAGAAGAACGUGUGUGAGAGUGGAAAGUUCACACAGUGACGGUAACUUACCAGAAAGGGACGGCUAACUACGUGCCAGCCGCCGCGG